GAAUUUUGUGUUGAACACAGAAAUGAUGUUAAUAUACAUUUUGAAAAAUCCAAAGUUGCAUUUCUCUUGGAGAAAGUUAAUCAUUGUAAACAUUUCAAUGAAAUUAUCUUUUUCAUUGGGUAGAUCCAAAUGUUUCCAAGCAUAAAAGAACAGAUGGGUCAACACUAUGUUUGUGAAAAGGGGAAUCUGGGCAGUCAUGGCCAAGGUUAACAAAAGAGCAAAGCAUGUUUGGCUUAGUGUUGACUCACAUAAUUGGAAAGAAAAGAAAGAUGAUUUAGAUAUGUUUAAUUCUGACCAUUUCUCUGAGACGAUAAACAUGGGUGGUGAUAAGGAUGUAUAUUUACCAGAAGUAGAGGGAACAGAUGAUGAUCCAAUGAUGAUUUUAAAGGCCAAAUCUGGAGUAAGGAAUAUUGCUGUCACCAGGAUUGUGAGAA
rnacentral:lncRNA from 1 species